AACACAUGCAAGUCGAGGGGAAACGACAUCGAAAGCUUGCUUUUGAUGGGCGUCGACCGGCGCACGGGUGAGUAACGCGUAUCCAACCUGCCCAUCACUUGGGGAUAACCUUGCGAAAGUAAGACUAAUACCCAAUGAUAUCUCUAGAAGACAUCUGAAAGGGAUUAAAGAUUUAUCGGUGAUGGAUGGGGAUGCGUCUGAUUAGCUUGUUGGCGGGGUAACGGCCCACCAAGGCUACGAUCAGUAGGGGUCCUGAGAGGAAGGUCCCCCACAUUGGAACUGAGACACGGUCCAAACUCCUACGGGAGGCAGCAGUGAGGAAUAUUGGUCAAUGGACGAGAGUCUGAACCAGCCAAGUAGCGUGCAGGAUGACGGCCCUAUGGGUUGUAAACUGCUUUUAUAAGGGAAUAAAGUGAGUCUCGUGAGACUUUUUGCAUGUACCUCAUGAAUAAGGACCGGCUAAUUCCGUGCCAGCAGCCGCGGUAAUACGGAAGGUCCGGGCGUUAUCCGGAUUUAUUGGGUUUAAAGGGAGCGUAGGCCGGAGAUUAAGCGUGUUGUGAAAUGUAGAUGCUCAACAUCUGCACUGCAGCGCGAACUGGUUUCCUUGAGUACGCACAAAGUGGGCGGAAUUCGUGGUGUAGCGGUGAAAUGCUUANAUAU
rnacentral:rRNA from 1 species